UGGGGAAUAUUGCACAAUGGGCGCAAGCCUGAUGCAGCGACGCCGCGUGCGGGAUGACGGCCUUCGGGUUGUAAACCGCUUUCAGCAGGGAAGAAGCGCAAGUGACGGUACCUGCAGAAGAAGCGCCGGCUAACUACGUGCCAGCAGCCGCGGUAAUACGUAGGGCGCAAGCGUUGUCCGGAAUUAUUGGGCGUAAAGAGCUCGUAGGCGGUUUGUCGCGUCUGCUGUGAAAUCCUCAGGCUCAACCUGGGGCUUGCAGUGGGUACGGGCAGACUAGAGUGCGGUAGGGGUGACUGGAAUUCCUGGUGUAGCGGUGGAAUGCGCAGAUAUCAGGAGGAACACCGAUGGCGAAGGCAGGUCACUGGGCCGCAACUGACGCUGAGGAGCGAAAGCAUGGGGAGCGAAC
rnacentral:rRNA from 1 species